UUCUGGCUCAGAGUGAACGCUGGCGGCGUGCUUAACACAUGCAAGUCGAACGAGAACGGAUUAUAGCUUGCUAUAAUUGUCAGCUAAGUGGCGCACGGGUGAGUAAUGUAUAGGUAAUAUGCCUCUUACUAAGGGAUAACAAUUGGAAACGAUUGCUAAUACCUUAUAUUCCUUUUUAUCAAAAGAUAAAAAGGGAAAGAUUUAUUGGUAAGAGAUUAGCCUGUAUUGUAUCAGUUAGUUGGUGGGGUAAUGGUCUACCAAGACGAUGACGCAUAACUGGUUUGAGAGGAUGAUCAGUCACACUGGAACUGAGACACGGUCCAGACUCCUACGGGAGGCAGCAGUGGGGAAUAUUGCACAAUGGACGAAAGUCUGAUGCAGCCAACGCCGCGUGGAGGAUGACACAUUUCGGUGCGUAAACUCCUUUUAUAUAAGAAGAUAAUGACGGUAUUAUAUGAAUAAGCACCGGCUAACUCCGUGCCAGCAGCGGC
rnacentral:rRNA from 1 species